rnacentral:rRNA from 1 species
UACGAAGGGGGCGAGCGUUGUUCGGAUUUACUGGGCGUAAAGGGCGCGCAGGCGGCCGCAUUUGUCAGGCGUGAAAGCCCCGGGCUUAACCUGGGAACUGCGUUUGAUACGGUGUGGCUAGGGUUCGGGAGGAGGGAGAGUGGAAUUCCCAGUGUAGAGGUGAAAUCGUAGAUAUUGGGAAGACACCGGUGGCGAAGGCGGCCCGCUGGG